GGCUGUAGCUCAGUGGUAGAGGAUCUGCCUCGCAUGCAGGAAGUCCUGGGUUCAAUCCCAGGAUCGUCA